rnacentral:rRNA from 1 species
GGUUAAGCGACUAAGCGUACACGGUGGAUGCCCUGGCAGUCAGAGGCGAUGAAGGGCGUGCUAAUCUGCGAUAAGCGACGGUAAGCCGAUAUGAGGC